AUUGAACGCUGGCGGCAGGCCUAACACAUGCAAGUCGAGCGGAGCGGCGGACGGGUGAGUAAUGCCUAGGAAUCUUCCUGGUAGUGGGGGAUAACGUCCGGAAACGGGCGCUAAUACCGCAUACUAUCAGAUUAGCCUCGUGCGGAUUAGCUAGUUGGGGGGGUAAAGGCCUACAAAGGCGACGAUCCGUAACUGGUCUUGGAGGAUGAUCAGUCACACUGGAACUGAGACACGGUCCAGACUCCUACGGGAGGCAGCAGUGGGGAAUAGUGGACAAUGGGCGAAAGCCUGAUCCAGCCAUGCCGCGUGUGUGAAGAAGGUCUUCGGAUUGUAAAGCACUUUAAGUUGGGAGGCGUUACCAACAGAAUAAGCACCGGCUAACUUCGUGCCAGCCGCCGCGGUAAUUC
rnacentral:rRNA from 1 species